rnacentral:lncRNA from 1 species
AGUUACAAUUGAAAUUCAUGAGCACUAUAUUUAUACAAUUUAAAUGAGUAGACAUGUUCUCCUUCUAACAGCUCGAAUUUUUAAAAUUAUAAUUAGAACUGUAAAAACAACCAUUAUAUUCUAAAACUUAAACUGUUAUCGAACGGUGUUUAUAUAUUUUUAUAUUUAAUAUUUCCCCUCACGCCUAGAUUUGAGACUUUUUUGCAAAAAUCAUGACGUAGAUUUAAAUUAAAUGGAGAAAAUUAAUAAUGCUAUGAGUCUAACGUGACUCAAACUUAGGACCUCCUAUUCUGAUACUUAUAUCUAUUAUAUUCUAAAAAUUUAAGGGGUUAAAGAACGAUAUUUAUAUAUUUUUAUAUUUAACAAGAACUUUAGCUAAAUCGCUCCAACAUUAUACAUUUAUUAUGAGCAUGCAUAUAUAAUUAAAAAGAACAAACA